rnacentral:lncRNA from 1 species
AAGCAAUAAAGUAGCUAAUAGAUGUAUACCACUGUACAUGGAAUUGGUUUAAUUCAAAGCCUGGGUUCUUGCCAUGUUUUCAGCAUUAGACAAUACAUAGCUCCUUUUACUUAAAUUCACUUAGGACCUGACCAAUAAAUCGCAUCUACCAGCCUACUGCUUCUACUGUUCUCUUCUCUGGGCCCCAUAGCCACCGUCUUGAAUUUUGUGUUCACCAUUCCAUUCCUCUUUAUAAUAUAAUUUGCUCAGAUAUUUAUUUACCUACAAGGGAUGUUAUUUCAUCUUUCUUAAUUUUUCUGGAU